rnacentral:rRNA from 1 species
CCGUAUUAGCUAGUUGGUAAGGUAAUGGCUUACCAAGGCAACGAUACGUAGCCGACCUGAGAGGGUGAUCGGCCACACUGGAACUGAGACACGGUCCAGACUCCUACGGGAGGCAGCAGUAGGGAAUCUUCCGCAAUGGGCGAAAGCCUGACGGAGCAACGCCGCGUGAGUGAUGAAGGUCUUCGGAUCGUAAAACUCUGUUAUUAGGGAAGAACAAGUGCGUAGGUAACUAUGCGCACCUUGACGGUACCUAAUCAGAAAGCCACGGCUAACUACGUGCCAGCAGCCGCGGUAAUACGUAGGUGGCAAGCGUUAUCCGGAAUUAUUGGGCGUAAAGCGCGCGUAGGCGGUUUUUUAAGUCUGAUGUGAAAGCCCACGGCUCAACCGUGGAGGGUCAUUGGAAACUGGAAAACUUGAGUGCAGAAGAGGAAAGUGGAAUUCCAUGUGUAGCGGUGAAAUGCGCAGAGAUAUGGAGGAACACCAGUGGCGAAGGCGACUUUCUGGUCUGCAACUGACGCUGAUGUGCGAAAGCGUGGGGAUCAAACAGGAUUAGAUACCCUGGUAGUCCACGCCGUAAACGAUGAGUGCUAAGUGUUAGGGGGUUUCCGCCCCUUAGUGCUGCAGCUAACGCAUUAAGCACUCCGCCUGGGGAGUACGGCCGCAAGGCUGAAACUCAAAGGAAUUGACGGGGACCCGCACAAGCGGUGGAGCAUGUGGUUUAAUUCGAAGCAACGCGAAGAACCUUACCAAAUCUUGACAUCCUUUGACCGCUCUAGAGAUAGAGUCUUCCCCUUCGGGGGACAAAGUGACAGGUGGUGCAUGGUUGUCGUCAGCUCGUGUCGUGAGAUGUUGGGUUAAGUCCCGCAACGAGCGCAACCCUUAAGCUUAGUUGCCAGCAUUAAGUUGGGCACUCUAAGUUGACUGCCGGUGACAAACCGGAGGAAGGUGGGGAUGACGUCAAAUCAUCAUGCCCCUUAUGAUUUGGGCUACACACGUGCUACAAUGGACAGUACAAAGGGCAGCGAAACCGCGAGGUCAAGCAAAUCCCAUAAAGCUGUUCUCAGUUCGGAUUGUAGUCUGCAACUCGACUACAUGAAGCUGGAAUCGCUAGUAAUCGUAGAUCAGCAUGCUACGGUGAAUACGUUCCCGGGUCUUGUACACACCGCCCGUCACACCACGAGAGUUCGUAACACCCGAAGCCGGUGGAGUAACCUUUUAGGAGCUAGCCGUCGAAG